CAACCCUCCAGCCUUGCUGGGUCUUGGGCUUUGCCGGCAACGGCUAACCCUAAAAUCAGUGGCGGUGCCAACGAGCUCUACGCGUAGUAAUAAAUUCCUCGCGUCUGAGUCUCGGUGGUCGCUUGCCAGCAACCCCCAAUUUCUAUGG
rnacentral:misc_RNA from 1 species